AUUGAACGCUGGCGGCAGGCCUAACACAUGCAAGUCGAGCGGAGCGGCGGACGGGUGAGUGAUGCCUAGGUAUCUGCCUGGCAGUGGGGGAUAGCGUCCGGUAACGGGCGCUAUUACCGCAUCCUCUCAGAUGAGCCUAGGCGGGAUUAGUUAGUUGGUGGGGUAAAGGCCUACCAAGGCGACGAUCCGUAACUGGUCUGAGAGGAUGACCAGUCACACUGGAACUGAGACACGGUCCAGACUCCUACGGGAGGCAGCAGUGGGGAAUAUUGGACAAUGGGCGAAAGCCUGAUCCAGCAAUGCCGCGUGUGUGAAGAAGGUUUUCGGAUUGUAAAGCACUUUAAGUUGGGAGGCGUUACCAACAGAAUAAGCACCGGCUAACUACGUGCCAGCCGCCGCGGUAAUAC
rnacentral:rRNA from 1 species